rnacentral:rRNA from 1 species
UACGUAGGGCGCAAGCGUUGUCCGGAAUUAUUGGGCGUAAAGAGCUCGUAGGCGGUUUGUCGCGUCUGCUGUGAAAACCUAAGGCUCAACCUUGGGCUUGCAGUGGGUACGGGCAGACUAGAGUGCGGUAGGGGUGACUGGAAUUCCUGGUGUAGCGGUGGAAUGCGCAGAUAUCAGGAGGAACACCGAGUGGCGAAGGCAGUGUCCUGGGGAGUACCU